GACGAACGCUGGCGGCGUGCUUAACACAUGCAAGUCGAACGAAGUGGCGAACGGGUGAGUAACGCGUAAUCAACCUGCCCUUCAGAGGGGGACAACAGUUGGAAACGACUGCUAAUACCGCAUACUGAAGGAGGGGAUUGCGUCUGAUUAGCUAGUUGGAGGGGUAACGGCCCACCAAGGCGAUGGUCAGUAGCCGGGCUGGGGGGGUGAAAGGCCCAAUUGGGACUGGGACAAGGCCCAGACUCCUACGGGAGGGAGCAGUGGGGAAUCUUCCGCAAUGGACGAAAGGCUGACGGAGCAACGCCGCGUGAGUGAUGACGGCCUUCGGGUUGUAAAGCUCUGUUAAUCGGGACGCGGUACCGGAAUAGAAAGCCACGGCUAACUACGUGCCAGCCGCCGCGGUAAUUC
rnacentral:rRNA from 1 species